CGAAAACUUUACAAUGCGGGAAACCGCGAUAAGGGGACACUGAGUGCCAGCAUAUUAUGUUGGCUGUCCACAUGUUUAAAAAGCAUGUGUUAGCAAGGGCUGGGCAAGACCGGUGCCAGCCGCCGCGGUAACACCGGCAGCCCGAGUGGUGAUCACUAUUAUUGGGUCUAAAGGGUCCGUAGCCGGUUUGAUCAGUCUUUUGGGAAAUCUGACAGCUUAACUGUUAGGCUUCCAAAGGAUACUGUCAGACUUGGGACCGGGAGAGGUAAGAGGUACUACAGGGGUAGGAGUGAAAUCUUGUAAUCCCUGUGGGACCACCAGUGGCGAAGGCGUCUUACCACGAACGGGUCCMCGGUGAGGGACGAAAGCUGGGGGCACGAACCGGAUUAGAUACCCGGGUAGUCCCAGCCGUAAACGAUGCUCGCUAGGUGUCAGGAAUGGUGCGACCGUUUCUGGUGCCGUAGGGAAGCCGUGAAGCGAGCCACC
rnacentral:rRNA from 1 species